AGUGAACGCUGGCGGCAGGCCUAACACAUGCAAGUCGAACAGCAGCACAGGAGAGCUUGCUCCCUGGGUGGCGAGUGGCGGACGGGUGAGGAAUACAUCGGAAUCUACCCUUUCGUGGGGGAUAACGUAGGGAAACUUACGCUAAUACCGCAUACGAUCUGAGGAUGAAAGCAGGGGACCGCAAGGCCUUGCGCGAUUGGAUGAGCCGAUGUCCGAUUAGCUAGUUGGCGGGGUAAAGGCCCACCAAGGCGACGAUCGGUAGCUGGUCUGAGAGGAUGAUCAGCCACACUGGAACUGAGACACGGUCCAGACUCCUACGGGAGGCAGCAGUGGGGAAUAUUGGACAAUGGGCGCAAGCCUGAUCCAGCCAUGCCGCGUGUGUGAAGAAGGCCUUCGGGUUGUAAAGCACUUUUGUUGGGAAAGAAAUCCUGUCGGCUAAUACCCGGCGGGGAUGACGGUACCCAAAGAAUAAGCACCGGCUAACUUCGUGCCAGCAGCCGCAGUAAUAC
rnacentral:rRNA from 1 species